rnacentral:lncRNA from 1 species
CACCCUAUCAGUUUCAGUUUCUGACCCACCUCACCCCAUCUCCAGGGUAUCUGAGCACCGAAGCUCCUCUGGGCACCUGUCGGGGCCAGCUGGGCCUGUUCUUCCACUGGCUGAACAAGAGGCUGCAUUUGGGUGGGUCUCGGCCUAGAGGCCUCUUGCUUGUGUUGGCAGAGACAAAGAAGGGAGCAGGGAGGGCAGAGCUGGCUCCACCGGCCCCCAGCUUCAUGGCCACCACCCUGAGAUCCCAAGAGACCCUAGCAAAGUUUAGGAGAAGAACAGGAAGGGCUGGAUACACCCCUAACCCUCUAUCUUAACAGUGAGACAAUUUGAAUUUUGCUUUUUUUAUCCUCCAGUUUUUCCUCAUGCGUGUGGGGUUUUAGUAGUGAAAUACAUAUAUAUAUUAUACAUAUAUAUGAUAUGUUUAUUAUAUAUAAUUUUAUAUAUUAUAUACAUUAUAUAAUUUUAUACAUUAUAUAAGUAAUAUAUAUGUGUGUGUAUAUAUAAUUUUUUCUUAAUUUCAAAAAAUCGUCUCCCGUUCUCCUAGUUUCAUUCCGACUCAGUGCAAGGCUGGAAGCUUUGCCAGGAACUUUUCAGGGUGAGACAUUAUAAUAGUGAUCUAGACUGGAUCUCACAUAAUUCUCUCUUUCCUAAUUCUCCAGUUCAUUAGAAAUAAGGAAAACAUGAAAUUCCUAAACAUCAAAGCUAUUGCCUUGGGGCCGGCCCUGUGGCUGAGUGAUUAAGAGGGCUCAGCUUCAGCGGCCCAGGGUUUCACGGGUUCGAAUCCUGGGCACGGACGUGGCACCGCUCAUCAAGCCACACUGAGGCAGCAUCCCACAUGCCACAAUUGGAAGGACCCACAACAAAAAAUACACAACUAUGGGGCCGGCCCGGUGGCGCAGCGGUUAAGUGCCCACGUUCCGCUUCAGUGACUUGGAGUUCGCCAGUUCAGAUCUCGGGUACGGACAUGGCACCACUUGGCAAGCCAUGCUGUGGUAGACGUCCCACAUAUAAAGUAGAGGAAGAUGGGCCUGGAUGUGAGCUCAGGGCCAAUCUUCCUCAGCAAAAAGAGGAAGAUUGGCAGCAGUUGUUAGCUCAGGGCUAAUCUUCCUUAAAAAAAAAAAAAUACACAACUAUGUACUGGGGGGCUUUGAGGAGAAAAAGGAAAAAUAAAAUCUUUAAAAAAAUAAAUAAAUAAAAGCUAUUGCCAGUUGGAGGCCCCAAACACAACCAACCCACUGGCCAGUAGAUGGUGCCAAAGGUUAACCACUGCCUUUGGGCUGAAUGUCCAGUCUGGCGCCUUCAAACACUACUCAGGUCUUCAUUCUGCUCCUAGAUGGCUGCCUGCCAUGUGCCGGGUCUUGAGCCGGGUUUGAGGGAUAUAGAUGAGAUGAGAAAGACAAAGUCUGAUAUCAAUUCAGCCCAUGGGCUAAUUGCUGUGAAGGAGGCACCUAGAGAGAAUUUGGCCAGAGGUGAUUUCCGAGCUGAGCUGAGCCUGGUAGACAAGGUCGGCCUGGAGAAGAGGAGAAGAAUGCUCCAGGAGGAGGAACUGCCCUGAGGUUCUAGGUGCGUUUGGGGAACAACUGAGAGUGGACAGAGAAGGCAGAGAAGAUCAGGGCCAGACGCCAUACUCAGUGCUGACAACAGUGGGAGAGAAGGGGGGGAGUGCUCACUGUACUCCCUUCUGGUGACAGCGUGUGGCAAGCUGAUGAGGAAGUGACCACCCCAUCCUCGACUUCCAGGAGCGGCCGCCCAAGCUGAGACUCAAAGGAUGGGUUAAAACUUGCCACAUGAAGAACAAUUUUGGAGAACAACGGCGAGUCCAUCCUCUGAGCGCUCACUGUGUGCCAGGCACUAAGAGCUUCACUGGGAUUAGUUCAUGGCAUCCUCCCACCGCCUUCCUCUUAUCAUCCCUACUGUGAAGAUGAGAAGGCCGAACCACAGAGAGGCGGAGUAGCUUGCUCAGUCACAACCCAGCUGCACACCAUCCUCCUUGGAGUCAACUGUGCCUCUUUCCAAAUUUUUGAGGAAGAUUAGCCCUGAGCUAACAUCUGCUGCCAAUCUUCCUCUUUUUGCUGAGGAAGACUGGCCCUGAGUGAACAUCCAUGCCCAUCUUCCUCUACUUUAUAUGUGGGACACCUGCCACAGCAUGGCGCGCCAAGUGGUGCGUAGGUCCGCACCCAAGAUCCGAACUGGCAAACCCCAGGCCGCCAAAGUAGAGCGUGAAACUUAACCUCUGUGCCACCAGGCUGGCCCCUAAACAUCACCGCUUUUAAAAACAGCUUAUGAGGUAUAACUGACAUGCAAUGAGCUGCACACGUUUAAAGUACAACUUGGUAUGUUUCGACACACGUUUAUACCUGUGAGACCAUCACUGCCCUCGAGACAGUGAACAGACUCGUCGCCCAAAGUUUCCACGUGCCCCUCUGCACCCCUCCCUUCUGCUCCCGUCGGCCCCGCCCCCCACAGGCAACCACCAAUCCACCUCUGUCACUAUAAAUUCAUUUGCAUUUUCUAAGAUUUUAUAUAAGUAACUGGCACCUUUCCUUCAGUGUAAUUAUUUUGCAUAUAGAACAUUUACCAUGAUAGAUUAUAUUCAGGGCAAUAAAACAAGUCUCGAUAAAUUUGAAAGGAUUUCAAAUUUCAAAUCAUGCAAAGUAUGUUUUCUAACCACGAUGGAAUUAAAUAUUAGAAAUCUAUAACAAAAAGAUAUCUGGAAAGCCUCCACAUAUUUGGAAACUAACACACCAAUAAAUUAUCCGUGGGUCAAAGAAGAAAUCAAA